UACGGAGGGUGCAAGCGUUGUCCGGAAUCACUGGGCGUAAAGGGCGCGUAGGCGGGCCGGUAAGUAGGGGGUGAAAUCCUGCGGCUUAACCGCAGGGCUGCCUUCUAAACUGUCGAGCUUGAGCACGGUAGAGGCAGAUGGAAUUCCCGGUGUAGCGGUGGAAUGCGUAGAGAUCGGGAAGAACAUCAGUGGCGAAGGCGGUCUGCUGGGCCGUUGCUGACGCUGAGGCGCGACAGCGUGGGGAGCAAACAGG
rnacentral:rRNA from 1 species